rnacentral:rRNA from 1 species
UACGUAGGUGGCAAGCGUUACUCGGAAUCACUAGGCGUAAAGCGCAGGUAGGAGGUUGGAUAAGUCUGUUGUGAAAGCUCCCGGCUUAACUGGGAGAGGUCAACGGAAACUAUCCGGCUAGAGUGCGGUAGAGGUAGCUGGAAUUCCCGGUGUAGCGGUGAAAUGCGUAGAUAUCGGGAGGAAUACCUAUGGCGAAAGCAGGCUACUGGACCGUCACUGACUCUGAUCUGCGAAAGCUAGGGGAGCAAACAGG